GGCGUGGUAACCACUUGUGGGGCCAGAAGUCUGGGAUGACGCGUGAACAAAGGUCGGCUCCAUCUCCAUCAGCUCAUCUAGGUCAUCAUCUUGGGCCUCAUCCAGUGGCUCCUCCUCCACCUCACCAUAGGUCUCCUCAGUCCCUGGAUCCUGCUGUGGCUCUCCUUCUGGUUUCUGGCCCCCAUCCUCAUCUUCAUCUUCUUCAUCCUUACUCUCUCCUUCCUCCUCAUUCUUGUUCCUUAUCUCCUCCUCCUCCUCUUUCUGUUUCAUUUCCUCUUCCUCCUCCUCCUCCUUCUCUUCCUUCUUCUUCAUUUCUUCCUCCUUCUUCAUCUCCUCCUCCUCC
rnacentral:lncRNA from 1 species